rnacentral:lncRNA from 1 species
AACUAGAUGAUGUUAUUACAUAUACAACUUUUAAAGAAGCAUAUUGUAUAGAUGUAGUAAUUAUAUUCAAAUGAGAAUUUAAACAUUUUAGAUUAAAUUGUCAUAUAUAAUCUAUCAAGCUUAUUUAGUUUAGUUUAGUUUUUUUAUUUUAUUUUAUUCUAUUUUUUUCUCAAAACAUUCUAUGUUGUCCUCCAAUGAUUUAUUCAUGCAUGUGCAAUAUAAAAUAUCAAGUCACCUGUAUACUAAUGUAAAUUUUAGGAUAAUUUUGAAGAGAAUGUCUUUAUUCUUUUAUUUUUUUACAAGAGUUUCAUUGAAGUGAAGAUAAUUCCCUACAAUACCAAUAUAUUUUGGCCAUUACAAAAUUCUUAUUUAUCCAUAAUAAAAUUGUUACCUUUUAAAGAUAUAAGAAGGUAGCAAAGGAAGACAGCUUUAGAUAGAAUCCCCUACUUUCAGGCACACUUUUUAUGUCCUUUAUUAAUACUCUUUCAAAAUUAUGUUCCAACAUCAUCUUAUUCUAAUAUAUAGUUAUAUUGUUUUUACUAGCUUCUACAUUGAUACUCUCUUAUGGACUUUUCAAUUCUACAUUGAAUUUUUCCUCACCCACUCUCCACUUUAACACCCCUUAUAAUUAUAAUUAUAAUUAAGCUCAAAAUAUUCACAAUAAUAAACUC